rnacentral:rRNA from 1 species
UAAAGAAAAUAUUUGGUUCUGGUAUAAUGUUAGCUACAGAGUUUUUUACAUUACACAAUGUAGGAUAAUUUCGUGAUGUGUGAAAGUCUGAUUUACGUGAUAAGCCGAAACUUAAAGUAUCCUAAAAGGAGAAAUUGGCAGCAGGAGCAUAAGUUUUUAAUGAUGACGCGAAGGAAAUCGCAACUCAAGUGGGUAGAUCUGGAAAUCAAUGAGUUCUAGCUUGAAACGAAUAAAAAACUAACUAAAUUGAAGCGAAAGAGGGUGCCAGCAGCUGCGGUCACUCCCUCUCUCGAGGAGCUAAUAAGGGUGCAGCUUAGAGGCAGUUAGUCAAAAUGCAUAACGCAAGACAUACAGCAGGGACUAUGGGUGAAAUCUCAGUCCUGCGGGAGGUCCAAAACUUGCGUAAAGAUGAGUCUGCGAAGUUAUGGGUAUAGACCCGGAUUUGGUACCCGGUUAUUCCAUAAUGUCAAGUAUAGCUAUUUUAUUUGAAUUAAUAGUUUGCUAGGGGUACUACGAGCAACUGCUUAAAACUCGAAGAACUUGGCGGUUCCGCAUAACCAUCCAGAGGCUCUUGGCGCUUAAUCUGAUGAUCCGCGUGAUAUCUUACCUGCCCUAUAGAAAGCAGUGUACUGCCGUCGAAAGCUUAUGAUGUGAGUAAAUGAAAAUAGGCCCAAUCUUGGGAUUUUAAGUAAUUAAUAAUCAUACCGAGGCUAGGUCAGGUCGAAGUGCUCCUUAUGGGCAAGGGGUUAGCUGAGAGACAAAUAUUUAGACAUAUAAAGAUUUUAGAGAUGAAAUUCUCUUAGUGAAUAUAAGGAUUUGGGAGUAAAAAGAGAGUAAUUCGUUUUUUUGAAAAGACGCAACUGCGGUGCGUUCAAAUCGCCCGUCACCCUAGCCGAAAGGAGAGGUAAGUCGUAACAUGGUAAGGGUAGGGGAACUUGCUCUUUUAAU